rnacentral:pre_miRNA from 13 species
CUGGCACUCACUCGGUCGUGAUUAUCUUGCUGGGGCCUCCAAAUGUUGUAACCGAGCGAGUUGUAGAGAAACGCCACACUCUGAGACUAAUUCAGGAGUCCUUUUAUUG